rnacentral:rRNA from 1 species
AUCAAUAGCGGAGGAAAAGAAACCAACAGGGAUUGCCUUAGUAGCGGCGAGUGAAGCGGCAAUAGCUCAAAUUUGAAAUCUGGCACUUUCAGUGUCCGAGUUGUAAUUUGAAGAAGGUAUCUUUGGGUCUAGCUCUUGUCUAUGUUUCUUGGAACAGAACGUCACAGAGGGUGAGAAUCCCGUGCGAUGAGAUGUCUAGAUCUAUGUAAAGUUCCUUCGAAGAGUCGAGUUGUUUGGGAAUGCAGCUCUAAGUGGGUGGUAAAUUCCAUCUAAAGCUAAAUAUUGGCGAGAGACCGAUAGCGAACAAGUACAGUGAUGGAAAGAUGAAAAGAACUUUGAAAAGAGAGUGAAAAAGUACGUGAAAUUGUUGAAAGGGAAGGGCUUGAGAUCAGACUUGGUAUUUUGUAUGUUACUCUCUCGGGGGUGGCCUCUACAGUUUACCGGGCCAGCAUCAGUUUGAGCGGUAGGAGAAUUGCGUAGGAAUGUGGCUCGGCCUCGGUCGAGUGUUAUAGCCUUCGUCGAUACUGCCAGCUUAGACUGAGGACUGCGGCUUCGGCCUAGGAUGU